rnacentral:rRNA from 1 species
GGAAUUGUAAGUCAGUGGUGAAAUCUUUCGGCUUAACCGGAAAACUGCCAUUGAUACUGCAGUUCUUGAGUAUGCUCGAGGUAGGCGGAAUAUGUCAUGUAGCGGUGAAAUGCAUAGAUAUGACAUAGAACACCAAUAGCGAAGGCAGCUUACCAGAUCAUAACUGACACUGAGGGACGAAAGCGUGGGGAGCGAACAGGAUUAGAUACCCUGGUAGUCCACGCCGUAAACGAUGAUCACUAGACAUUGGCGACAUACUGUCGGUGUCAAAGCGAAAGUAUUAAGUGAUCCACCUGGGGAGUACGCCGGCAACGGUGAAACUCAAAGGAAUUGACGGGGGCCCGCACAAGCGGUGGAGCAUGUGGUUUAAUUCGAUGAUACGCGAGGAACCUUACCUGGGCUUAAAUGCAGAACGACCGAUCCGGAAACGGAUCUUUCUUCGGACGGACUGCAAGGUGCUGCAUGGUUGUCGUCAGCUCGUGCCGUGAGGUGUCGGGUUAAGUCCCAUAACGAGCGCAACCCCUAUCGUUAGUUGCCAGCGGAUAAUGCCGGGGACUCUAACGAAACUGCCCGUGCAAGCGGAGAGGAAGGUGGGGAUGACGUCAAAUCAUCACGGCCCUUACGUCCAGGGCUACACACGUGCUACAAUGGCGCAUACAAAGGGCAGCUACCACGCGAGUGGAUGCUAAUCUCUAAAGUGCGUCUCAGUUCGGAUUGAAGUCUGCAACUCGACUUCAUGAAGCUGGAAUCGCUAGUAAUCGCGCAUCAGCCAUGGCGCGGUGAUACGUUCCCGGGCCUUGUACACACCGCCCGUCAAGCCAUGGAAGCUGGGGGUGCCUGAAGUCGGUGACCGCAAGGAGCCGCCUAGGGCAAAACUAGUAACUGGGGCUAAGUCGUA